rnacentral:rRNA from 1 species
CCUANGGGGGGCUGCAGUCGAGAAUAUUCGACAAUGGAGGAAACUCUGAUCGAGCGACGCCGCGUGCAGGAAGAAGUGCUUCGGUAUGUAAACUGCUUUUGUAGACUAGUAAUUUUUGAACAGUCUAAGAAUAAGAGGUUGCUAAACUCGUGCCAGCAGCAGCGGUAAUACGAGUGCCUCAAGCGUUAUCCGGAAUUAUUGGGCGUAAAGGGUGUGUAGGUGGUUUUGUUAGUCUUCUGUCAAAUCUCUCGGCUUAACCGAGAACUCGCAGGGGAAACGGCAAGACUUAGAGUGUACGAGGGGUCUGUGGAACUCAUAGUGUAGCGGUGAAAUGCGUUGAUAUUAUGGGGAACACCAAAAGCGAAGGCAGCAGACUGGAGUAUUACUGACACUGAAACACGAAAGCGUGGGUAGCGAAUGGGAUUAGAUACCCCUNUANUC